CCUACGGGUGGCAGCAGUGAGGAAUAUUGGUCAAUGGGCGCGAGCCUGAACCAGCCAAGUCGCGUGAGGGAAGACGGCCCUACGGGUUGUAAACCUCUUUUGCCGGGGAGCAACGGGCGCCACGUGUGGCGCCCCUGAGAGUCCCCGGAGAAAAAGCAUCGGCUAACUCCGUGCCAGCAGCCGCGGUAAUCCGGAGGAUGCGAGCGUUAUCCGGUUUUAUGGGGUUUAAAGGGUGCGUAGGGGGCGCGUUAAGUCAGUGGUCAAAUUGAGGGGCUCAACCCCUUCCCGCCAUUGAAACUGGCGCUCUUGAGUGGAAGAGAGGUAUGCGGAAUGCGUGGUGUAGCGGUGAAAUGCAUAGAUAUCACGCAGAACCCCGAUUGCGAAGGCAGCAUGCCGGCUUCCGACUGACGCUGAAGCACGAAAGCGUGGGGAUCGAACAGGAUUAGAUACCCGAGUAGUC
rnacentral:rRNA from 1 species